AGAUUGAACGCUGGCGGCGUGCCUAACACAUGCAAGUCGAGCGGUAACAGGUGUAGCAAUACAUGCUGACGAGCGGCGAACGGGUGAGUAAUGCUUUGGAAUCUUCCCAGUAGUGGGGAAUAACCAGUCGAAAGAUUGGCUAAUACCGCAUACGUCUGUAAAGGGAAAGCGGGGGCUCGUAAGACCUCGCGCUAUUGGAUGAGCCAAAGUCGGAUUAGCUAGUUGGUGGGGUAAUGGCCUACCAAGGCGACAAUCCGUAGCUGGUCUGAGAGGACGACCAGCCACACCGGAACUGAGACACGGUCCGGACUCCUACGGGAGGCAGCAGUGGGGAAUAUUGGACAAUGGGCGCAAGCCUGAUCCAGCAAUGCCGCGUGUGUGAAGAAGGUCUUCGGAUUGUAAAGCACUUUCGACGGGGACGAUGAUGACGGUACCCGUAGAAGAGCCCCGGCUAACUCGUGCCAGCAGCCGC
rnacentral:rRNA from 1 species